UGGCUCAGAUGGUAAAGCAUCUGCCUACAAUGCAGGAGUCCCAGGUUUGAUCCCUGG
rnacentral:tRNA from 1 species